rnacentral:rRNA from 1 species
GACGAACGCUGGCGGCGUGCUUAACACAUGCAGGUCGAACGGAAAGGCCCUGCUUUUGUGGGGUGCUCGAGUGGCGAACGGGUGAGUAACACGUGAGUAACCUGCCCUUGACUUUGGGAUAACUUCAGGAAACUGGGGCUAAUACCGGAUAGGAGCUCCUGCUGCAUGGUGGGGGUUGGAAAGUUUCGGCGGUUGGGGAUGGACUCGCGGCUUAUCAGCUUGUUGGUGGGGUAGUGGCUUACCAAGGCUUUGACGGGUAUCCGGCCUGAGAGGGUGACCGGCCACAUUGGGACUGAGAUACGGCCCAGACUCCUACGGGAGGCAGCAGUGGGGAAUAUUGCACAAUGGGCGGAAGCCUGAUGCAGCAACGCCGCGUGCGGGAUGACGGCCUUCGGGUUGUAAACCGCUUUCGCCUGUGACGAAGCGUGAGUGACGGUAAUGGGUAAAGAAGCACCGGCUAACUACGUG